rnacentral:rRNA from 1 species
GUGGGGAAUAUUGGACAAUGGGCGAAAGCCUGAUCCAGCCAUGCCGCGUGAGUGAUGAAGGCCUUAGGGUUGUAAAGCUCUUUCAGUAGGGAAGAUAAUGACGGUACCUACAGAAGAAGCCCCGGCUAACUUUGUGCCAGCAGCCGCGGUAAUACGAAGGGGGCUAGCGUUGUUCGGAUUUACUGGGCGUAAAGCGCACGUAGGCGGAUUGGUCAGUUAGAGGUGAAAUCCUGGAGCUCAACUCCAGAACUGCCUUUAAUACUGCCAGUCUAGAGUCCAGAAGAGGUGAGUGGAACUCCUAGUGUAGAGGUGGAAUUCGUAGAUAUUAGGAAGAACACCAGUGGCGAAGGCGGCUCACUGGUCUGGUACUGACGCUGAGGUGCGAAAGCGUGGGGAGCAAACAGGAUUAGAAACCCCGGUAGUCC